CGUAGCGCAGAGUCGCGCGCUUAGCAUUCGCUUGUGUUACACCGGUGGAGCAUGGAGCAGUGCGGACAGAGGAUCACCGCGAUAUUAUACAACAGAUACACAUAAACUUGCAACAUCGAGGUAGACAGCAGGGCGGAUAGACAGACGGUCUCAGACAGUCCGGCAGACAGAGAGAAGCAGGUUGAAAUUCAACCGUGGACAAGCAAGGUGUCCGCAGCUGGGGUUGAAAAGCUGUCGAAACUGGAAUGGAG
rnacentral:lncRNA from 1 species